rnacentral:rRNA from 1 species
GAUGAACGCUGGCGGCGUGCUUAACACAUGCAAGUCGAACGAUGAAAGCGGGAGCUUGCUCCUGCUGGAUUAGUGGCGAACGGGUGAGUAACACGUGAGUAACCUGCCCUUGACUCUGGGAUAAGCGUUGGAAACGACGUCUAAUACCGGAUACGACCUUCGGAGGCAUCUCCUGGGGUGGAAAGAAUUCGGUCAAGGAUGGACUCGCGGCCUAUCAGCUAGUUGGUGAGGUAAUGGCUCACCAAGGCGACGACGGUAGCCGGCCUGAGAGGGUGACCGGCCGACACUGGGACUGAGACACGGCCCAGACUCCUACGGGAGGCAGCAGUGGGGAAUAUUGGACAAUGGGCGAAAGCCUGAUCCAGCAAUGCCGCGUGAGUGAUGAAGGCCUUAGGGUUGUAAAGCUCUUUCGCCUGAGACGAUGAUGACGGUAUCAGGAGAAGAAGCCCCGGCUAAUUCCGUGCCAGCAGCCGCGGUAA